rnacentral:rRNA from 1 species
AAUGAACGUUGGUGGCGUGGAUUAGGCAUGCAAGUCGUGCGCGAAAGUCCCUUCGGGGACUGGAGAGCGGCGAACGGGGUAGUAAUGCGUCGGAACGUACCCUUGGGUCUGGGAUAACCGCGGGAAACUGCGGGUAAUACCGGAUGACCUCUUUGGAGCAACGGUGAGACUCCGCCCGAGGAGCUGCCGACGUGAUACCAGCUAGUUGGUGAGGUAAUGGCUCACCAAGGCUCAGACGUCUAGGGGGUGUGAGAGCAUGGCCCCCACCACUGGGACUGAGACACUGCCCAGACACCUACGGGUGGCUGCAGUCGAGAAUCUUCGGCAAUGGGCGAAAGCCUGACCGAGCGACGCCACGUGCGGGAUGACGGCCCUCGGGUUGUAAACCGCUGUCGAGGGGGAUGAAGUCAUUGGGAGCUAUCUCCCGAUGUUGACAGAGCCCUGGAGGAAGCGCGGGCUAAGUACGUGCCAGCCGCCGCCGUAA